AUUGAACGCUGGCGGCAUGAUUUACACAUGCAAGUCGAACGGUAACAGGCCGCAAGGUGCUGACGAGUGGCGCACGGGUGAGUAAUGCAUCGGAACGUGCCCAGUCGUGGGGGAUAACUACUCGAAAGAGUAGCUAAUACCGCAUACGAUCUAUGGAUGAAAGCGGGGGACCGUAAGGCCUCGCGCGAUUGGAGCGGCCGAUGUCAGAUUAGGUAGUUGGUGGGGUAAAGGCUCACCAAGCCAACGAUCUGUAGCUGGUCUGAGAGGACGACCAGCCACACUGGGACUGAGACACGGCCCAGACUCCUACGGGAGGCAGCAGUGGGGAAUUUUGGACAAAGGGCGCAAGCCUGAUCCAGCAAUGCCGCGUGCAGGAAGAAGGCCUUCGGGUUGUAAACUGCUUUUGUACGGAACGAAACGGCUCUGGUUAAUACCCGGGGCUAAUGACGGUACCGUAAGAAUAAGCACCGGCUAACUACGUG
rnacentral:rRNA from 1 species